AGUGGUUAAGCGUUUGGCUGCUAACCAAAAGGCUGGCAGUUCAAAUCUACUAACCGCUC
rnacentral:tRNA from 1 species